rnacentral:rRNA from 1 species
GACGAACGCUGGCGGCGUUCUUAACACAUGCAAGUCGAACGAAGUGGCGAACGGGUGAGUAACGCGUAAUCAACCUGCCCCUCCGAGGGGGACAACAGUUGGAAACGACUGCUAAUACCGCAUACUGAAGGUGGGGAUUGCGGCUGAUUAGCUGGUUGGCGGGGUAACGGCCCACCAAGGCGAUGAAGGGUAGCCGGUCUGAGAGGAUUGACGGCCACAUCGGGACUGGGACACGGGCCAGACUCCUACGGGAGGCAGCAGUGGGGAAUCUGCCGGAAUGGACGAAAGGCGGACGGGGCAACGCCGCGGGCGUGAUGACGGCCUUCGGGUUGUAAAGCUCGUUUAAUCGGGACGCGGUACCGGAAUAGAAAGCCACGGCUAACUACGUGCCAGCAGCCGCGGUAAUUC